rnacentral:rRNA from 1 species
CGGACGGGUGAGUAACACGUGGAUAACCUACCUAUAAGACUGGGAUAACUUCGGGAAACCGGAGCUAAUACCGGAUAAUAUAUUGAACCGCAUGGUUCAAUAGUGAAAGACGGUUUUGCUGUCACUUAUAGAUGGAUCCGCGCUGCAUUAGCUAGUUGGUAAGGUAACGGCUUACCAAGGCAACGAUGCGUAGCCGACCUGAGAGGGUGAUGGCCACACUGGAACUGAGACACGGUCCAGACUCCUACGGGAGGCAGCAGGG